rnacentral:rRNA from 1 species
UAUCUCUGUAGAGUCUGCAUAUCAAUAAGCGGAGGAAAAGAAACUAACAAGGAUUCCCUUAGUAACGGCGAGUGAAGCGGGAAGAGCUCAAAUCUGAAAUCUUCAAGGUUCUACCUUGACGGAUUGUAGUUUAAAGAAGUGUUUUCUGUUAGUGGAGUGGCAAAAGUUCUCUGGAAUAGGACAUCAUAGAGGGUGAGAAUCCCGUAUUUGGUCAUCCCUUCUAGCUUUGUGAUACACUUUCAAAGAGUCGGAUUGUUUGGGAAUGCAGUCCAAAAUGGGUGGUAAAUUUCAUCUAAAGCUAAAUAUUGGCGAGAGACCGAUAGCGAACAAGUACCGUGAGGGAAAGAUGAAAAGAACUUUGAAAAGAGAGUUAAACAGUACGUGAAAUUGUCAAAAGGGAAGCGUUUGACACCAGUGUUGUUUUCUCGAAAAUCAAUUAAAAAUGGCUUGAUUUUGUGUUGUAUUGACCUUAAAAGCUUUCUUCACUUUUUUCAUGUCUUUUUUAAUGCACUUUUCGUUUAACAAGUCAACAUCAGUUUCUUUUGUUGUAAAAAGGUCAUUGGAAGGUGGCUUUCUUUUCGGAGAAGGUGUUUAUAGCCUUUGACUUCCGCAAUCGGAGAGACUGAGGUCUGCAGCGUAGAUCCUUCUGGAUUAGAUUCAUUUGUGCUAAGUUACAACCGUUUAUAGACAACUUGUUGACUAUAUUCGAUCCUGUAGCUUACUCGCCUUAUGUAAUUUUACCUACGCUUAGGAUGUUGAAGAUGUAGCACAUCAU